AAAGAGAUCUGUUCGCCAAGGUCGAAUUGAUGCCUAUUCUGCUUUGGUAAGCAAAAGAUGAUGCUACUGGAGAGAUACUUCUCAACAUCAGGCAGUGAAGCUGAAUUAGUGCUUCCAAAGCAAUUGGAUUUGCAAGAAAAGCUCAGAAGAGGUUCCUACCAAGAUAAUCUUGAAUUCUAGCAAGAAAUAAACCUGAUAGAUUUUACUGGACAUCUGAGGAUUGCUAAUGGAGAAACAGCUGAUUGAUUUCUUUGCUAGCAUUUUGGAUUGGAUAUAGUAAGGAUUUUUGUUUUAGUUUAUUUUUUUAGACAAAUUAGCAGUACCUUUAUCUAGA